UUUGUACUCCCUCCGUCCCGAAAUUCUUGUCUUAAAUUUGUCUAAAUAUGGAUGUAUCUAGUUACAUAUUAGUGUUAGAUACAUCCGUAUGUAAAAAAAUGUAAGACAAGAAUUUUGGAAUGGAGGGAAUACUAC
rfam:Triticum aestivum genome assembly, contig: Triticum_aestivum_CS42_TGACv1_scaffold_220691_3B